rnacentral:rRNA from 1 species
AUACGUAGGGGGCAAGCGUUGUCCGGAAUUACUGGGCGUAAAGCGCACGCAGGCUGACUUAUAAGUCGGUAGUCUAAUGCGGAGGCUCAACUUCCGUUUAUCUAUCGAUACUGUAAGACUAGAGUAUGUGAGAGGGAAGUGGAGUUCCCGGUGUAGCGGUGAAAUGCGUAGAUAUCGGGAGGAACACCAGUGGCGAAGGCGACUUCCUGGCACAAUACUGACGCUCAUGUGCGAAAGCUAGGGUAGCGAACGGGAUUAGAUACCCCGGUAGUCCUAGCCGUAAACGAUGGAUACUAGGUGUGGGUGUCGCAGGGCAUCCGUGCCGCAGCUAACGCGUUAAGUAUCCCGCCUGGGGACUACGGUCGCAAGACUGAAACUCAAAUGAAUUGACGGGG